rnacentral:snoRNA from 1 species
ACAACGGUGAUGAGUCUACAGACCUGUAAUGACUUGCGGAUAUGAUCGCAACUCUUACGAACAUCUAAGGGACUGAGUUCAC